CCUACGGUUGGCAGCAGUGAGGAAUAUUGGUCAAUGGGCGCGAGCCUGAACCAGCCAAGUAGCGUGAAGGAUGACUGCCCUAUGGGUUGUAAACUUCUUUUAUAUGGGAAUAAAGGAAGGUAUGCAUACCCUCUUGUAUGUACCUUAUGAAUAAGGAUCGGCUAACUCCGUGCCAGCAGCCGCGGUAAUACGGAGGAUCCGAGCGUUAUCCGGAUUUAUUGGGUUUAAAGGGAGCGUAGGUGGGUUGUUAAGUCAGUUGUGAAAGUUUGCGGCUCAACCGUAAAAUUGCAGUUGAUACUGGCAGUCUUGAGUACAGUAGAGGUGGGCGGAAUUCGUGGUGUAGCGGUGAAAUGCUUAGAUAUCACGAAGAACUCCGAUUGCGAAGGCAGCCUACUGGACUGCCACUGACAUUGAUGCUCGAAAGUGUGGGUAUCAAACAGGAUUAGAUACCCCUGUAGUC
rnacentral:rRNA from 1 species